GAUGAACGCUGGCGGCGUGCUUAAUACAUGCAAGUCGAGCGAAAAGACGAUGAGCUUGCUCCUCUCACGUUAGCGGCGGACGUGUGUGUAACACGUGGAUACCCUACCUAUCAUUCUGGGAUAACUUCGGGACACCGGCGCUAAUACCGGAUAAUCUCUUGAAGCGCAUUGUUCAAUAGUGAAAGACGGUUUUGCUGUCACUUCUAGAUGGUUCCCGGCCGGAUGAGCUAGUUGUUAAGUUAACGGCUUACCACGGCGACGAUGCGUAGCCGACCUACGAGGGUGAUCGGCGACACUGGAACUUGAACACGGACCAGGCGCCUGCGGGAGGCAGCAGAAUGGAAUCGGCCGCAGUGGGCGAAAGCCUGACGGAGCAGCGCCGCGUGAGAUGUGGGAGUCUUCGGAGCGGAAUACUGGGUUAUUGGGUAAGAACAAAUUUGUAAGGAACUGUGCACGGCGUGACGGUACCUAAUCAGAAAGCCACGGCUAACUACGUG
rnacentral:rRNA from 1 species